rnacentral:rRNA from 1 species
UACAGAGGUCUCAAGCGUUGUUCGGAUUCAUUGGGCGUAAAGGGUGCGUAGGCGGCGCGGUAAGUCGGGUGUGAAAUCUCGGGGCUUAACUCCAGAACUGCCUUCGAUACUGGCGAUCUAGAGUCCGGGAGAGGUGAGUGGAACUGCGAGUGUAGAGGUGAAAUUCGUAGAUAUUCGCAAGAACACCAGUGGCGAAGGCGGCUCACUGGCCCGGUACUGACGCUGAGGUGCGAAAGCGUGGGGAGCAAACAGG